rnacentral:rRNA from 1 species
ACGAACGCUGGCGGCGUGCCUAACACAUGCAAGUCGAACGGAGAAUUUUAUUUCGGUAGAAUUCUUAGUGGCGAACGGGUGAGUAACGCGUAGGCAACCUACCCUUUAGACGGGGACAACAUUCCGAAAGGAGUGCUAAUACCGGAUGUGAUCAUCGUGCCGCAUGGCAGGAUGAAGAAAGAUGGCCUCUACAAGUAAGCUAUCGCUAAAGGAUGGGCCUGCGUCUGAUUAGCUAGUUGGUAGUGUAACGGACUACCAAGGCGAUGAUCAGUAGCCGGUCUGAGAGGAUGAACGGCCACAUUGGGACUGAGACACGGCCCAAACUCCUACGGGAGGCAGCAGUGGGGAAUCUUCCGCAAUGGACGAAAGUCUGACGGAGCAACGCCGCGUGAGUGAUGAAGGAUUUCGGUCUGUAAAGCUCUGUUGUUUAUGACGAACGUGCAGUGUGUGAACAAUGCAUUGCAAUGACGGUAGUAAACGAGGAAGCCACGGCUAACUACGUGCCAGCAGCCGCGGUAAUACGUAGGUGGCGAGCGUUGUCCGGAAUUAUUGGGCGUAAAGAGCAUGUAGGCGGCUUAAUAAGUCGAGCGUGAAAAUGCGGGGCUCAACCCCGUAUGGCGCUGGAAACUGUUAGGCUUGAGUGCAGGAGAGGAAAGGGGAAUUCCCAGUGUAGCGGUGAAAUGCGUAGAUAUUGGGAGGAACACCAGUGGCGAAGGCGCCUUUCUGGACUGUGUCUGACGCUGAGAUGCGAAAGCCAGGGUAGCGAACGGGAUUAGAUACCCCGGUAGUCCUGGCCGUAAACGAUGGGUACUAGGUGUAGGAGGUAUCGACCCCUUCUGUGCCGGAGUUAACGCAAUAAGUACCCCGCCUGGGGAGUACGGCCGCAAGGUUGAAACUCAAAGGAAUUGACGGGGGCCCGCACAAGCGGAGGAACAUGUGGUUUAAUUCGAUGAUACGCGAGGAACCUUACCCGGGUUUGAACGCAUUCGGACCGAGGUGGAAACACCUUUUCUAGCAAUAGCCGUUUGCGAGGUGCUGCAUGGUUGUCGUCAGCUCGUGUCGUGAGAUGUUGGGUUAAGUCCCGCAACGAGCGCAACCCCUAUCCUAUGUUACCAGCAAGUAAAGUUGGGGACUCAUGGGAGACUGCCAGGGACAACCUGGAGGAAGGCGGGGAUGACGUCAAGUCAUCAUGCCCCUUAUGUCUUGGGCUACACACGUACUACAAUGGUCGGAAACAGAGGGAAGCGAAGCCGCGAGGCAGAGCAAACCCCAGAAACCCGAUCUCAGUUCGGAUCGCAGGCUGCAACCCGCCUGCGUGAAGUCGGAAUCGCUAGUAAUCGCAGGUCAGCAUACUGCGGUGAAUACGUUCCCGGGCCUUGUACACACCGCCCGUCACACCACGAAAGUUGGUAACACCCGAAGCCGGUGAGGUAACCUAUAAGGAGCCAGCCGUCUAAGGUGGGGCCGAUGAUUGGGGUG